rnacentral:rRNA from 1 species
AUUGAACGCUGGCGGAAUGCUUUACACAUGCAAGUCGAACGGCAGCACGGACUUCGGUCUGGUGGCGAGUGGCGAACGGGUGAGUAAUGUAUCGGAACGUGCCCAGUCGUGGGGGAUAACGUAGUGAAAAUUACGCUAAUACCGCAUACGAUCUAUGGAUGAAAGCGGGGGAUCGCAAGACCUCGCGCGAUUGGAGCGGCCGAUAUCAGAUUAGGUAGUUGGUGGGGUAAAGGCCCACCAAGCCAACGAUCUGUAGCUGGUCUGAGAGGACGACCAGCCACACUGGAACUGAGACACGGUCCAGACUCCUACGGGAGGCAGAAGUGGGGAAUUUUGGAAAAUGGGCGAAAGCCUGAUCCAGCCAUUCCGCGUGAAGGAUGAAGGCCCUCGGGUUGUAAACUGCUUUUGUACAGAACGAAAAGGUUUCUACUAAUACUGGGAGCUCAUGACGGUACUGUAAGAAUAAGCACCGGCUAACUACGUGCCAGCAGCCGCCGUAA